rnacentral:misc_RNA from 1 species
GUUCCCUUAUCGGAAUUGACUUGCAUCACACCCUCACCGGGUUGGUUUGGGCCUGAUGAGGAAGGGAGAAGGGUUACUAAGGUCCAGUGCUUCUCUAGCCAGGGCACAGUCAAUUUCUAUAUGAGGCCACUUGAAGGGCUAACAAUAACCGUGGACCUCGACAAGAAAGAGGUGGUGGAAUUUCUUGACAAGGGGAGAGGAAUUCCAGUUCCAAAAGCCACUAACACAGAUUACAGAUACACAGCACAAGACAAGCCACUAGAAAUGGAGCCAAUAAACCCAAUAUCAAUAGAACAACCGAAAGGUCCAAGCUUUAGUAUAGAAAAUCGACACAUGGUUAAAUGGGCAAAUUGGAUUUUCCACCUGAAGGCUGACCAACGAGCUGGCAUGAUCAUUUCCCGAGCUAUGGUUAGGGACUCGGAGACUGGGGUGCUAAGGAGUGUGAUGUACAAAGGGUUCUCUUCCGAGUUGUUUGUGCCUUACAUGGACCCAGAUGAGAACUGGUAUUUUAAAUCAUACAUGGAUGCCGGUGAGUUUGGUCUGGGGGCAACAGCGAUGUCACUUAUGCCACUAAAUGAUUGCCCGAGGUACGCACACUAUGUGGAUGGAAUUUUUGUGUCUUCUGAUGGGAAGCCAUAUGUUCAACCCAAUAUGAUUUGUGUGUUCGAACGUUAUGCUGGAGAUAUCGGUUGGCGUCAUUCGGAGAUCCCUGUUAAUGGUUUUGAGAUUAAAGAAGCAAGAGCUAAAGUGACACUAGUGGCUCGAAUGGC